AUACGGAGGAUCCGAGCGUUAUCCGGAUUUAUUGGGUUUAAAGGGUGCGCAGGCGGGAGAUUAAGUCGGCGGUGAAAUUUUGCAGCUCAACUGUAAAAGUGCCUUCGAAACUGGUUUCCUUGAGUGUAGAUGAAGUAGGCGGAAUUUGUGGGGUAGCGGUGAAAUGCAUAGAUAUCAAGAGGAACUCCGAUUGCGCAGGCAGCUUACUAAACUACUACUGACGCUCAGGCACGAAGGCGUGGGGAUCAAACAGGAUUAGAUACCCUGGUAGUCCACGCAGUAAACGAUGAUUACUAGCUGUUUGCGAUACAAUGUAAGCGGCUGAGCGAAAGCGUUAAGUAAUCCACCUGGGGAGUACGUUCGCAAGAAUGAAACUUAAAGGAAUUGACGGGG
rnacentral:rRNA from 1 species